UACAGAGGUGGCAAGCGUUGUUCGGAAUUACUGGGCGUAAAGGGCGCGUAGGCGGCGCGGUAAGUCGGGUGUGAAAUCUCGGAGCUUAACUCCGAAACUGCAUUCGAUACUGCCGUGCUUGAGGACUGGAGAGGAGACUGGAAUUUACGGUGUAGCGGUGAAAUGCGUAGAUAUCGUAAGGAAGACCAGUGGCGAAGGCGGGUCUCUGGACAGUUCCUGACGCUGAGGCACGAAGGUCAGGGGAGCAAACGGG
rnacentral:rRNA from 1 species